rnacentral:rRNA from 1 species
CGUGCAGGCGGCUGAGUAAGUCAGAUGUGAAAGCCUUCCGCUUAACGGGAGAAGUGCAUUUGAAACUACCCGGCUUGAGUUCGGGAGAGGAGAGUGGAAUUCCCGGUGUAGAGGUGAAAUUCGUAGAUAUCGGGAGGAACACCGGUGGCGAAGGCGGCUCUCUGGCCCGAUACUGACGCUGAGACGCGAAAGCGUGGGGAGCAAACAGGAUUAGAUACCCUGGUAGUCCACGCCGUAAACGAUGGGCACUAGGUGUAGGAGGUAUUGACCCCUUCUGUGCCGAAGCUAACGCAUUAAGUGCCCCGCCUGGGGAGUACGGCCGCAAGGCUAAA